CGGCGGACGGGUGAGUAACACGUGGGUAACCUACCUAUAAGACUGGGAUAACUUCGGGAAACCGGAGCUAAUACCGGAUAAUAUUUCGAACCGCAUGGUUCGAUAGUGAAAGAUGGUUUUGCUAUCACUUAUAGAUGGACCUGCGCCGUAUUAGCUAGUUGGUAAGGUAACGGCUUACCAAGGCGACGAUACGUAGCCGACCUGAGAGGGUGAUCGGCCACACUGGAACUGAGACACGGUCCAGACUCCUACGGGAGGCAGCAGUUG
rnacentral:rRNA from 1 species